ensembl:lncRNA
AAUGAAUUGUGUGUCAAAUUACCUGGAGAGCUUUUGAGCCGAGGUGAUGUGACCACACGUCCUCUGCGUGUCACAUGACCGAUAGUGAGAAUGGAGCCUUGGUUUUACAAGCAGCUCAUUUGACACUCGGCCGAUGGAGACAUUUAGUUCAGCGUCUCUCGGCACACGACGCCAGGAAAGAAUCAAUUUUCCCGUCCGAUCUUAUUUAACAAAUACACGUCCUUGAUGCAUUGUGCUCUGACAGAAACUUUAAUAUCACCCAGGACACCACCUGCAAUUUGAAACGAGAGUCAGUGAAUGGGAUUCGGAGGUUGUGUUGGCAGUGAAUCCACCAGUCGAAUGCAGCGCUGGAGACAGAGAGCUGCACCUCAGCAUGACGAAUGUCAUGUGCCUCCACAACAUGAGACAUAUUUGAGUUUACAGGGACAUUAAGGAUUAGAGACCGAAGGGAAAAACCCACAAGACGUUUAUUCAUUCAUUCAGCAAAUAUUUAAUUUAGUCAGUAAAGAUGUUUUAACAAGAAAACAGUAAAAACCUGACUAAAAAAAUGACCUCAUCUCAGGACUUAUGGUUAAGAAGGGACAAUAAUGGUUCUGGGUUUAAGGGGGGCACUAAGGGUUUACAUUAGCAUUUAGCUGACGCUUCUAUCCAAAGUGACUUACAUUGCAUUUGUAACCCAUGGUUUUUCACAUUUGGCCCGGGGCGCAAUUACGGGUUGGGUGUCUUGCUCAGGGACACUUUGACAUGGGACAUGGAGCAGCCAGGGUUUGAACCACUAACCUUGCGGUUCCCAGUGCUCCCUCUCUACUUCAUGCGCCAUCGUCGCCCGGGUUUAGGGUUGAGGAGGGGCACUAAGGGUUUAGGGUUGAGGAGGGGCACUAAGGGUUUAGGGUAAAGGAGGGGCACUAAGGGUUUAGGGUUGAGGAGGGGCCCUAAGGUUUUAGGGUUGAGGAGGGGCACUAAGGGUUUAGGGUUGAGGAGGGGCCCUAAGGGUUUAGGGUUGAGGGGGGACAUUGGACCAGAGUAACUUCCCCUUGAGCUACCGAUUCGUUGACGAUUUGCUGACGGGUAUAAAGACCGAGCUGGGACGCGUCCUCACCGGAGCAAACAUGGGUCACUCCGAGACGGGGGGAGAGG